GACAGAGGGGGCAAGCGUUGCUCGGAAUCACUGGGCGUAAAGAGCGUGUAGGCGGCCGCACAGGUCCGUUGUGAAAACUGGAGGCUUGACCUUCAGACGUCGAUGGAAACCGUGCGGCUAGAGUCCGGAAGAGGAGAAUGGAAUUCCUGGUGUAGCGGUGAAAUGCGCAGAUAUCAGGAAGAACACCCGUGGCUAAGGCGGUUCUCUAGUACGGUACUGACGCUGAGACGCGAAAGCGUGGGGAGCGAACAGG
rnacentral:rRNA from 1 species